CCCCACCUUUACCCCAUACUACUGACUAUAUAAACUAGCCUGGAAAAAAUAAAAUUUGCCACUUGAUCAGAAUCCUGUCUUGUGGUCAUUCUCUCUCAUCUCUUGUCUCCAUUCCCCUCCUGGACUUCUUGCUCUAGGUUGCUGUCCUGAGGGUUGGGACAACUACAGAAAAACAACACACUUAAAAAUGUGCAAGUAACCUAAAAAUAUGGUAUCCCUAGAACUCAUCAUGUGUGCUGGAUCCAAAGGGCUUCCAAAAUAUCUUCAGUGAUAAAUGGAGCCCUUAGGAAGUCAUUUUUCUAGCCUCCCUGUUUGUUUAUUUGGUUUGUUUAUUGCUUACAGUCUUACUCUAAAAGAAACUUUCAGUUCAGAGAUGUGUAAGCAAUCUGGCUGCCAUAUCUGCUACCUUAUUAGUCAUCAGAAUUGAUUUAGUUGAUCUACCUCCCUCAACACUCCACAUGAACCCUUUAGAAGCUGCACACUUGGUGGAAAAGGACAACCUAGUAGUAGGAUGGAGAGUAUUAAUACUGUUACUAUUAUUACUUUUUUAGUGAGGUGCACUCCUCAGCUACAAUCUCCAAGCCAGCUCUCAAGAAGUUCCCAGUUAUGAGAAAAGCAGGAGAGCUUCUAGGGAUUCCACUGAGGAGAAAAAUGGAGAAAGACUAUGGAGAAAAGAGUGGAGUCAAGAGAAAGAAGCAAGCUUUACUAAAGAGAAAGUCUAUGAGAUGGCUAGAAGCUUCUCAAUUUCAGGAGGUCCCAUUUAUUAAUUUCUGAUCUCAGUGUCUGUGCUGCUGGUGUUAUCUUAGGAAGCGGUCUCCUGCACCAAUCCGUUCAAGGGUACCACCUACCUUCUCUUCUCAAUGUGGCUGGAUUUAUGUUGAGGUCUUUGAUCCAUUUGGACUUGUUUUUUGCAUGGUGAUAGAUAUGGAUCUGUCUGCAGUCUUCUACAUGCCAGCAUCCUAGACACACUGGGGAGGAUCUAGGCAUUGCUCCAAAUGAUAUGACAGACUUUGAAGAUAUCCCAUGGAAGGCCUCACCCUCCCAGGAGAGCAGAAACGGGUUGGGACAGGGGGUCGGUG
rnacentral:lncRNA from 1 species